rnacentral:lncRNA from 1 species
CUUCUGCAGCCACCUGAAAGGAGGAUGGAGCCACGCAGGGCUCGGGCUCUUUAGGUUGGAUAUCAGGGAAAAUUCCCUCACCGAAAGGAUUGUCCAGCCCUGCCCAGGACAGCGGUGGAGUCCCCGUCCCUGGAGGGUUUUAAAAGCCAUGUGGGUGUGGGGACAUGGGGACCUGGGACAUGGGUUCGUGGUGGCCUCGGCAGUGCUGGGGAUGGAGGGACUCGGUGAUCCAGGCGGAUUUUCCGGCACAAACCGGGCGCUGCUCCCUGCGAUCCCUGUCCGCGUCUGCAGAGGGCACCAGGCCCCCAAAUGUCCCUGUCACCCCCGGCGGGACAGGGCGCGACACCGCCGGGACGGCCGGGAGGCUCCCGGGGAAUGCUCUGGGUGACACCGACCCGGGGAUGCUCCGGGUGACACCGACCCAGGGAUGCUCCCGGGGAAUGCUCCGAGUGACAUCGACCCAGGGAUGCUCCCGGGGAAUGUUCUGGUGACACCGACCCAGGGAUGCUCCUGGGGAAUGCUCCGGGUGACACCGACCCAGGGAUACUCCCGGGAAUGCUCCGAGUGACACCGACACAGCCACCCAGGGAUGCUCCUGGGGAAGGAUCCAAGUGACACCGACCCAGCCACCCAGGGAAUGUUAUGGUGACACCGACCCAGCCACCCAGGGAUGAUCCAAGUGACACUGAUCCAGCUCCCGAUCCAGCUCCCGGGGAAUGAUCUGGGUGACACCGACCCAGCCACCCAGGGAUGAUCCCAGAGAAUGAUCCGAGUGACACCGACCCAGGAAUGUUCCUGGGGAAUGUUCUGGUGACACCGACUCAGCCACCCAGGGAUGCUCCCAGGGAAUGAUCCAAGUGACACGGACCCAGCCACCCAGGGAUGCUCCUGGGGUAUGAUCCAAGUGACAUUGGCCCAGCCAUCCAGGGAUGAUCCUGGGGAAUGUUCUGGUGACACCGACCCAGCCACCCAGGGAUGAUCCAAGUGACACUGACCCAGCUCCCGCUCCAGUUCCUGAGGAAUGAUCCUGGUGAC